rnacentral:rRNA from 1 species
GAUGAACGCUGGCGGCGUGCUUAACACAUGCAAGUCGAACGGAAAGGCCCAAGCUUGCUUGGGUACUCGAGUGGCGAACGGGUGAGUAACACGUGGGUGAUCUGCCCUGCACUUCGGGAUAAGCCUGGGAAACUGGGUCUAAUACUGGAUAGGACCACUUCUUGGAUGGUGUGGUGGAAAGUUUUUUCGGUGUGGGAUGAGCUCGCGGCCUAUCAGCUUGUUGGUGGGGUAAUGGCCUACCAAGGCGUCGACGGGUAGCCGGCCUGAGAGGGUGUACGGCCACAUUGGGCCUGAGAUACGGCCCAGACUCCUACGGGAGGCAGCAGUGGGGAAUAUUGCACAAUGGGCGCAAGCCUGAUGCAGCGACGCCGCGUGGGGGAUGACGGCCUUCGGGUUGUAAACUCCUGUCGCUAGGGACGAAGCGUUUUUGUGACGGUACCUGGAGAAGAAGCACCGGCUAACUACGUG